rnacentral:rRNA from 1 species
GUGAAUCAUCGAAUCUUUGAACGCACAUUGCGCCCCCUGGUAUUCCGGGGGGCAUGCCUGUUCGAGCGUCAUUU